rnacentral:rRNA from 1 species
GAUGAACGCUGGCGGCGUGCCUAAUACAUGCAAGUCGAGCGAACGGACGAGAAGCUCGCGUCCCUGCUGUUAGCGGCGGACGGGCGAGUAACACGUGGAUAACCUACCUAUAAGACUGGGAUAACUUCGGGAAACCGGAGCUAAUACCGGCUGAUAUUUUGAACCGCAUGGAUCAAAAGUGAAAGACGGCCUUGCUGUCACUUAUAGAUGGAUCCGCGCUGCAUUAGCUAGUUGGUAAGGUAACGGCCUACCAAGGCAACGAUGCAUAGCCGACCUGAGAGGGUGAUCGGCCACACUGGAACUGAGACACGGUCCAGACUCCUACGGGAGGCAGCAGUGGGGAAUAUUGCGCAAUGGGCGAAAGCCUGACGGAGCAACGCCGCGUGAGUGAUGAAGGUCUUCGGAUUGUAAAACUCUGUUAUUAGGGAAGAACAGAUGUGGGAGUAACUGUGCACAUCUUGACGGUACCUAAAGAGAAAGCCACGGCUAACUACGUG